UCUGCCUGCACUCGCCAUGCUCCCCACCAUGAUGACAAUGGACUGAACCUCUGAAACUACCCAGACAUAGUAGGUGGCACACAGUCGUGGUCCCAGCACUUGGGACUCUGAGGCAAGCUCGUGAUGAAGGAGAGAGGAAGGAAGAAGAAAAGGAAGAGAAGGAAGAGGAGAAGGAAGAGGAGAAAUCCCAGAACAGUGGGAACUGAGCUAUGCUGAGUUGUGACCCUUUGUUCUCAAGAAGAAAAUGACUCAGAGCGAAGGAGACCAGCGCCAGCCUGGAGGAAGUGUGCCCAGGUCCCUCACCUGCUCCAGACGCGCUGUCUGGGGCCUGUCAGCAGAAAGCCUGCUCCAGCUUCCGCUGCUAUUGUUCAACACUCCCGCUCUCCCGAUAACCCAGCUCUGGGAACCGCUGCCCAGACGGCCUACGCUGCCGCAGGCAGGGUCCUGGUCUGUGAGGGUCACGCUUCCAAAUGAGGCCUGGGAAGAGCAGACUGAAAAGAAUCAGCCUGAGGUUGGAGGUUACUGCAGUCUACAGCAAGUCCAAACACUGGAGACAAAUGCAAUCUGUUGAAUAACUGUUAAAACUAAAGAAAAUUAGCCUCUGAAAGUAGGGGGUUAGGCUACUGAAUUGUCCAGAAAACCAGCUGUCCCAGCUCUUUUGAGACUCUCCUAGUUGUGGUCAGUUUAGGAAGAUGAUCAAGAAACCAUUGGACAAAAUACCUAAAACACUGUAUUUGAAAGCAUGGGUUAGAGGUUCAUUGUCCUAAGGGACUGUUGGUGUUCUCAGACAUUUUGCAAUUUUUUCGUUUAAGAAUUAUAUCCUUCCAGAGCUUUUACACAGAAAAACCCUCUCUCAAGAAUCCAAAACCAUGAAAAACCAAAAAAAAAAAUUAUAUGCUUAUAUCAAUA